rnacentral:rRNA from 1 species
UACGUAGGGUGCAAGCGUUGCUCGGAAUCAUUGGGCGUAAAGCGUACGCAGGCUGUUCGUUAAGUCGGGUGUGAAAGCCCGGGGCUCAACCCCGGAACUGCGCCCGAAACUGGCGAGCUUGAAUGCGGGAGAGGGAAGCGGAAUUCCUGGUGUAGAGGUGAAAUUCGUAGAUAUCAGGAGGAACACCGGUGGCGAAAGCGGCUUCCUGGCCCGACAUUGACGCUCAUGUACGAAAGCGUGGGGAGCAAACAGG